UUGUCCCCUUUCGGGGUUUGCUGUCCUUUAACCAGCCCCGGUGUCAUAAUCCAGCUGGGAAGGAUCCUAGCCCAGGUCCUUGGGUACUUGCCUGGAGCAGCAGGACACUGCCGGUGACAUCCAGCUGCCUCUGGCGGCCCCACAAGGUCCUUUCACAGCUGGAUUUCAGUGUAGUGCCCUCAGCAUCCAUCCGGAGCAAGGCUCAGGCUCUGUAUGUAGCCACCAAUUCAUUCACUGUUUCUCAAACAUUUCCACUCAUGAUUAUUUCUUUUUCAGACUUCCAGGCUUGAGGAUGCUCAGACCAUCACACUGUUUACACCGAGAAAAACUCUUUGAACCGUUUUUUAGCUGUUUUGGAGUCCCUCAUUUUUAAUGCUGCAUUUUUUCAUGUUCAUCUUUUAUGGAUGGAUACUCCAGGACUUGACAGAAGGUUGCUGAGGACUGGGAAGAAUGCCUGGCAGCUGAGUGUGCAAAAGUGAUUUCCUGGCCACAGGUGACCAGUGUGGAGAGUGAGAUGUGAGCCAAAACAGGAACACAGCAGGAAGGAAAGGAGCAAACACAAAGGAAAGGCGCUCAGAAUCGCGGGUCAGAGCAACAGCGUGGCUGGGGAAGGACAAGGAGGAGGAGAGGACAUCAAGCCAGGGAAUGACUUUUUCCUUUCCAGUCAUGAUCCUGCCAUGCCUGGAACCUGGGAUCCCCCCUCAAAUGAGACCUUGCUGCUGACCCCAGUGGGGUCAGACAAAGGACAAACCAAGGAGCCUUCUGCCCCAAAAAUGCCAAAGUUAUGGAAAAGAGGGAAUGUGAGAAAGU